GAUCCUAUCUAACCUUAUCUGAUGCGUGUGGACUGGUUGGAUAAGGAUUGCUCUCAGGCUACCUCGCUCUUGUCGUCACGGGUUGCUCGUCGUCGAACCUCACCGCUGCCAGCGCAAGCCACCACAGCUCUCCGCCCUAGCUUGCCCACGCCUGUGCGAGCAACCGUAGCUCCCCGACGGUGCUCACCCACGCUGAUGCCCGAGUGAGCCACUGCGACUCGCCGCCGGUUCUCGUCCACGUCUGCAGGCGCCAGCGCAGUUCGUCCUUGCCUCGCGGAUGCCUGCGCUAGAUACCGCAGCUCGCUGCGGGUUCUCCCCCACGCCUGCGCGCGAUAGCGCAGCUCUCUGCGGGUCCUGAACAAGUGGCACGUGGCAGCAGCGGCCGGAGGAGGAGAUGGAUGUGUGUGUAGGUCCUGAAGAUGUUGAAUGCAAGCAACAUGUUGGUGCAUCGACGGAGUCAAUACACUGGUACAACCCCAGCAUGGAAGAUACAAAUUACUUCAUAUUUCUUGCUGUAAUUUUAGUGGUGACUUCCGGGCAAAGCCAGGGCGGCUGCCUGACAUUGUGAGGUCGAUUAACAUCUGCCACUGAGUCGCUGGAUCUACCUAUUAUUACUUUCAAUCCAGUAGUAUAACACCCUGACUCAUUCAGCUCAGUAAGCAUCCUUUGUUCCCUUUCUUUUGGUUGUUUGAAUCAUUUGAUUCCACUUUGUUUCCAUCGCUGAGAAAAAUUACCACCAAUUAAAUCGACCCGUGGUGAUAAUAUAUGUGAUCAAUUUAUGUUUGUCAUCCUCGUGUUCUUGUACGAUUAACAUCCAUCAUCUG